UAAAAAACCGGUUCCAGUAAGAACUCUGAAGUUAAGCAUGGUUGAGUUUGGUCAGUAACUAGAUGGGUGACCGCUUGGGAAUAACAGGUGU